rnacentral:lncRNA from 1 species
CUCCUAGCUAUAACAUUUUCAAUCUUUCUCUUCGAAAGGGGUUUGAGGUUUUGCUAGGAUAAAGGUUGAUCAUUAAAUUGUAGGCAAAGUUAAGAGAAGAAAGAGGAUUAUAGAUUAUGAAAAAGUAUUUGAUGCUAAUGCUCUCACCUAUUUCUGUUAAGCCGAUUACGAUCGUUGUGUGGACUUAAUCGAGAGCAAUUAAUUUCUUGGGCCAAGAAUCAUAGCAUUUAAAAUCUAAGGUUGGAAGAUUA